UACGUAGGUGGCGAGCGUUAUCCGGAAUGAUUGGGCGUAAAGGGAACGCAGGCGGUCUUUUAAGUCUGAUGUGAAAGCCUUCGGCUUAACCGGAGUAGUGCAUUGGAAACUGGGAGACUUGAGUGCAGAAGAGGAGAGUGGAACUCCAUGUGUAGCGGUGAAAUGCGUAGAUAUAUGGAAGAACACCAGUGGCGAAAGCGGCUCUCUGGUCUGUAACUGACGCUGAGGUCCGAAAGCGUGGGUAGCAAACAGG
rnacentral:rRNA from 1 species